rnacentral:rRNA from 1 species
AGUGAACGCUGGCGGUAGGCCUAACACAUGCAAGUCGAACGGCAGCACAGUAAGAGCUUGCUCUUACGGGUGGCGAGUGGCGGACGGGUGAGAAAUACAUCGGAAUCUACUUUUUCGUGGGGGCUAACGUAGGGAAACUUACGCUAAUACCGCAUACGACCUACGGGUGAAAGCAGGGGAUCUUCGGACCUUGCGCGAUUGAAUGAGCCGAUGUCGGAUUAGCUAGUUGGCGGGGUAAAGGCCCACCAAGGCGACGAUCCGUAGCUGGUCUGAGAGGAUGAGCAGCCACACUGGAACUGAGACACGGUCCAGACUCCUACGGGAGGCAGCAGUGGAGAAUAGUGGACAAUGGGCGCAAGCCUGAUCCAGCCAUACCGCGUGGGUGAAGAAGGCCGGCGGGUUGUAAAGCCCUUUUGUUGGGAAAGAAAAGCAGCAGGUUAAUACCCCGCUGUUCUGACGGUACCCAAAGAAUAAGCACCGGCUAACGUC